rnacentral:rRNA from 1 species
GACGAACGCUGGCGGCGUGCCUAAUACAUGCAAGUAGAACGCUGAAGGAGGAGCUUGCUCUUCUGGAUGAGUUGCGAACGGGUGAGUAACGCGUAGGUAACCUGCCUGGUAGCGGGGGAUAACUAUUGGAAACGAUAGCUAAUACCGCAUAAGAGUAGAUGUUGCAUGACAUUUACUUAAAAGGUGCAAUUGCAUCACUACCAGAUGGACCUGCGUUGUAUUAGCUAGUUGGUGGGGUAACGGCUUACCAAGGCGACGAUACAUAGCCGACCUGAGAGGGGGUCCGGCCCCACGGGACCUGGGCACCGGCCCAGCUCCCUCCGGGGGCCACCGUGAGGGAUUUUUCGGAAAUGGACGGAAGUCUGCCCGAGCAACGCCGGGGGGGUGAGAAAGUUUUUGGGUUCGUAAAGCCUUUUUGUAAGGAAAGAACGGGUGUGGGAGUGAAAAGUCCACCCUGUGACGGUCUCUUAAAAAAAAGGGCCGGCUAACUGCG